UGCCACCCCGGGCAGUGUCUGGGCCCUCAGCUCCCCCUCCCUCCACCUGCCCCUUCCACCUACCACUACUGGCCCACAGGAACCCAGCCCAACGGAGGCGACACGGAGCCCAGAGACAUGCGAGUCCGAGGGACAUUCCAUCUACUGCUUGUGUGCCUGAGCCCAGCACUGCUGUCUGCUGUACGGAUCAAUGGGGAUGGCCAGGAAGUCCUGUACCUGGCAGAAGGUGAUAAUGUGAGGCUGGGCUGCCCCUACAUCUUGGACCCUGAAGAUUAUGGUCCUAAUGCACUGGACAUUGAAUGGAUGCAGGUCAACUCGGAACCCUCAUCUAGAGAGAAUGUGUUCCUUAGUUACCAGGACAAGAGGAUCAACCAUGGCAACCUCCCCCAUUUGCAGCAGAGGGUCCGCUUCGCGGCUGCAGACCCCAGCCAGUAUGACGCGUCCAUCAACCUCAUGAACCUGCAGGUAUCUGACACAGCCACCUAUGAGUGCCGGGUGAAGAAGACCACCAUGGCUACCCGGAAGGUCAUUGUCACUGUCCAAGCACGCCCCGCGGUACCCGUGUGCUGGAGCGAAGGCCACAUGACAAAGGGCAACGAUGUGGUGCUGAAGUGCUUUGCCAACGGAGGCUCCCAGCCACUCUCCUACAAGUGGGCCAAGAUCAGCGGGAACAUCCACCCCUACCGAGCAGGGUCCUACCACUCCCAGCACAGCUAUCACUCUGAGCUCUCCUAUCACGAGUCUUUCCAUGGCUCCAUAAAUCAAGGCCUAAGCAAUGGGGACCUGGUGCUGAAGGACAUCUCUAAAGCAGACAACGGGCUGUAUCAGUGUACAGUGGCCAAUCACGUAGGCUACAGUGUGUGCGUGGUGGAGGUGAAGGUGUCAGACUCCAAGCGUGUGGGCAUGAUCAUCGGCGCCGUGCUGGGCUCCUUGCUCGUGCUAGCCUGCUUGGCCUUGGGCAUCUGGGGGCUCGUCAUCUGCUGCUGCGGGGGCCCCGGGUCUGGAGGCGCCCGCGGCGCCUUCGGCUACGGCAACGGCGGCGGGGUCGGCGGCGGGGCCUGCGGCGGCGACUUGGCUAGUGAGAUCAGAGAGGACGCCUUGGCGCCCGGGUACAAGGCCAGCGGGCGCGGCACCCGCGUCACCCAGCUCCUGGGGUACCCCACGCAGAACGUCAGCCGCUCCCUGCGUCGCAAGUACGCGCCCCCGCCCUGCGCCGGCCCCGAGGACGUGGCCCUGGCGCCCCGCACAGCCGCCUGCGAAGCGGGUCCCUCCCCGGUCUACGUCCAGGUCAAGAGCGCCGCGCCGGCCGAGGGCGCCGAGGGGCUGCAGCAGUGCAAAGACGGGCUCUUGGUGUCCUCCCUGUAACUCUUCCCAGGGAGGAGCUUGUCUGUGUCUGCUGUCCAUUUGUCCUGGCAAUGCUUUGGACAGUAGCCAGGCAGGUCCUGGGAAACAUCACCAGGUCAAGAGAUUCCUCGGCUGUUACCACCCUUUGUGUCCUUUGUGGCGAGAAGCAGAGACCCCAGAGCAAUGUAAACCAUUUUUAUAGAUCAGGUAUAGAAAUCUCAAACCAGUGACCAGCAAAGGGCAAAACUUCCCUGCAGUUAUCAAGAUGACAGUGGUGGCAGAGAUGCUAUUGAGCAUGCACCCUGGAGGUACUCAGAACAAGGCUGGAGAACAGGAAUAGCACAGAAAGAAAAGAAGACUGAUGGACAAAGGCCUGCUUCUGUGGUUAGAAAAGGGAAGGAAAUGAGCCCAAGAUGAGUUGAAUAGAGAAUACAGAUGCUCCGGAGCUACACUGAGAGAAGGGACACAGACUCUUUUGAGGGACUAAGAGAAAGGUCCAGAGCCACUUUGUUGAGGUUCAUCUCGCCCUAGGACCUUUAGCCAAUGGAGCUGCAGGUUUCUCCUCUUCUUGGACAUUAGCCAAGAGUCCUAAGGAAGGAGCCUAGAGUGUAGCUGUUCUACAGAUGCUGCAGAGAGACCCAAUGAUACCAUCUCUGUCCAUUCAACAUUGACCCAGAGACAUACUCAGAGUCAGAAGAUAUGGAAAAACUUACCACAUCUCCCAACACACGAAACUGCAAGAGAACAAAGUGAUUUUUAAAAAUUUAGUAGAAAGAAUUUUCACAUUGGGAAGAACAUUCAGACUGUCACUUCAACUGGUGUUUACAUCCAGCCCGCAAGCCACCCACCUGGAAACUGAGCCACUCAACUGUCGAACUACUCCCCCACAUAACCACCAAGCCACCCAACCAUUUACCCAUUCAACUAAUCAGUUUUUAUGCUGGACCCACCCUGCCCCCAUCCUCUGCCCUAUCAUGGUUCAAAUGUUGCACUUCGGACAGGUUUUUCCUGAGACUGCAAUCAAAAGAACUCUCUUCAAUCACUGUCACUGUGUCCUAUCAUCUUAAGAACACAUUUGAGUUUAUCCUAUUCAUUAAGUUGUCAAGAUGUUAUCACCUGUCUUCCUCUGUUUAGAAUUAGAAUAAGCAAGGAUUAUGCUUUUUAAAAAAUUAUUAUAUAUUUAUUUUAUUUAUAUAUUGUUUUGUACUGAAGAUUGAGCCCAGGUGCUUCACACUGAGCUGUGCCCCAUUCCUUUUUAAAUUCUGAGAUAGGCUUUUGCUAAUUUGUUUGGUUCAAACUUGUGAUCCUUCUGCUUCAACCUCCAAGAGUGCUGAAAUUACAGGUGUGCCCACCAUGCCUACCUUGAUUCUGUUUAUCUUACCCACUGCCAUGGUCCUUACAUGUAGAACCUAUGCAUGGAACACCAUCUGUGUUUCAUAAGCAUUUGUGGAGUAAGGGCACGCAUGUUUUCUUUCACAUUUAGUUGUGUGGGGCAGGGAUCAAAAGGUAGAAGACAUAGGACUAGACUCCUGUACCAGCAUGCCCAAGCACUCACUCCCAUACAUACAGUAAAGCCCAUAUAGCAAGAUCUGGCCCUAGUUUCUAUGGUUCAGUACAUCCACAGAGCUCUGGGGAAAUAGCAUAUGGCUGCGAUCAGAGUGUGGAGGCCAAGGUCCUCAGACAGAUAGUCAAGCAUACGGGAUGUAGGCAGCUCAGACAAAUGAGAGAACCACAAAUAAGUGACAUGCAUCACACACCAUGCUGGCACCUGCACACCCUGCAUCAAGGCUUUAGAGGAUCAUGAAUUGUCUCAGGGAUAAAUGACCCUAAAUCGAGGGGCACAGGUGAACAUGCAGUGGUGGAGCACAGUUUGUACUUCUGGUCCAGGGGAGGCGGUGACGACAGACUGAAAGAAGAAGUGCGUCAGUUCAGCCAGUCUUCCCACAAACUGAGCUGUGUCCUUCACUGGUGACAUACCGUAAAGGCUGCAGGGGACACUGAGAAACUCAGCCACGGCCCCAGAAGAGGUGGCUGAAACACCCUCUCAAAGCACGCAUUUGUCACUUUCAGUCACAUGCUGCCAUCUUUGCCGCCCACCGUAACUUCAGACAUCAAUGGGGCUUUCAGCUUGGUCUUCUACUCACCGCAGUUAUAGCUUCUCCAUUGUGAAGUUGACUGUGAGAGUCUAUUUCUUAUCAUCCCUCUACUUACCCGUUUUCUCCACCUUUCCUAUUUAUGAGCUUGUUGUAGCAGAAAACAGGCAAGGUUCAGAAGCAGAGGACCUGCACUGGACUCAUGAACCUUUCUAUGUGAACUUGAACACACUGUCUAGAUUCCAAGAGCUCCAAUUCCUCGUCCUGUCAUAUUAUUUUUAUAGGGCGACUGUGAAGGUUAUACUGCCCCGCUGACUGGAAAAGUGGCUGCUACAUUAACUGAAAGCGGAAAGGCCUGACCACAGGGUGACUGAGAACUCACUCUGUACUUAGGUCUCCACCACCUUUCCCUCCUCCCCAGAAAACGAUUUUGCGGCUACAAGGUGAGAAACAAACAAAGCUGAGGUACAGUGGCCUAUGCCAAGAGAGAAGGCGUCUAGAGACAUAGAGCCAUUUCAGGUUAGCUUAGAUCUCUAAGUCCCAAUGACUUGCCAUCCUAUGGUGCUGCAGCAUCUUGGAUUUGUAAUUGCAGAAUCACCCUUUGUGAUCGGACAGCAGCCCACUGGAGAUGUACAGAGUGGGAAGGCCCAGCAGUGUCACUUAUAGAGCCAGAAGAGUAGGUGAAAAUGUAAUAAAUUGCAUCACCAAACUGCAAAUUGUGGAGGCAGUAGCACCUUGAGUUCUGCACCAGUCAGUACCUUGGUGGGGAGAAGAGAGUCCAACGCCUGCCACAAUGAUAAAGUGCAUCAAGACAAGGCAGAUUGAGAUGAGAACAGGGUCUAGAAAAUAUUUCCUGUUAGAUUUGCUGAGGCAGUGGGAGGUUAUUUGUCUGAGAAAGCUGCACAAUAAUGGUCUUCAAUCAUUUGAUGGGCAAAACUUAAAAGAAGGCACAGACUUACUCUGAGUUACUUCCUUCCUGGGGCAGAAAUGAAACUAAUGCAUGAGAAUCAGUGGGUCCAAGGAGGGAGAUUUUAGCUCCGUAUGAAGCAGUUCCAAUGGUCCAACAUGCCCAGUUGAGCUCUCCCUUGGUAGAACACAUGGCUUGGCCAAGUGUGGCCGCCACAUUGCUGGGAGGAUUGUGUGUAGGCUACAUGCCACAGACACUGAGUAUGUGGGAUAUGGGCUCAGAAGACGAUGGAGGCUGGCUAAUACUUGGCUCACAAGAAAAGUAAAGACCAUCUCCCAAUUUAUUUAUUUAGUGUUUGAGCAUAAUCAAUAGGUUUAAUACCAACACUCUUAGCCUGUUGGAUCCCUGAGAGCCAAAAAGCAUCCUAUCCACAAUUGCUGUGACCAUGCCCUGCCAGGCAUUUAAAAUGAAUUAUUACUUUCUCAUUUUGCCUAACAAGGGUCCAGUUUCAUCUAAACUAGUGGUGGAGCAGAAGAGUGGAAAAAGCAAAGGGUUCAAUAUUUUGUGGAUUUGAAUUUGCCUCUCUGUUUAGUCCAGGGGUAGUUAUUUUUACAAGGUCGUGCAGCUUGCCCUUGGGAACCUUCCAUUGGAGUUUAUCCAGGCCCUGGACCAUUCUGACCAACAUGUGAGCAUCAGGUCUUGCCACUUGUUCAGUGCCCAUUUGUAGGAUGCACAUGGUAACAUCUUAAUGUGGGAAUGGGAGAGACACACAAGGGAACAGGCAUCUUCCUCACAGCCUUGAAUUCUUACAGUCUCUGCCCAGGAAGAGAUCAUACUGAGGAACGGUUUUGCUCUUCUGAUUCCAUGAAAACAAACAGCAAACAAAAAAGCAAACAAUUGAACCAACUUAAAAAAAAUAGAUCAACUCAGAAGUUGUCAACAGAAAUAAAUGUGCAUGCAUAUGGUGUCUUGUAGGUGUAGUGUGGUGACCCUGGCUGAGACUGAGCUGAGCCUAGGGGAGCUGAGAGACCUCCCCACUGCAACCCUUUACCACUGGACCAUCUUCUCGAGGAGUCCAUAUGAUUGGCUCGAAUGGGGAGAGAUGCAGAGAAGAGAGCAACAGAGAUAAGAGAGAACAGGUUCGACUCUGCGAACCAGCCCCAAGGACUAGUCAGAGCCCUAAUCCUCACCCUCCCAAAGGGGAGAGAAUGCAGCCCGAAGAGAAUGUUCAAUUUGAAAAAAGUUUUGUAUACUCAGUACCUAAGCCCACCGAUCAAUGAGAAGUGUGGCCAUUGUUAAAAGGUUCUAAGAAAACACUGAGUUUUCCCAAAAACAUGUUCCCACCUUCUGGUGCUGAACACAAUAUACAGAACUUCUGUCCCUAUCUCUCUGAUCUUUGAACCCCCCAGCAGCCUCUUUUCCCUUUAUAACUUUGCGUUGCCUUUUCAGUCGGCUCUAAUGAGUCUUUUAACCCGAUUUCAGUACAGUUGGGUAACAAGGAGGCCUCAGGAUGUGAUUUUCUGUUUUCCCAGUUUAUCUCUGACACAUGGAGAAGCUGUUCUGCUCAGAACCCAGGCCGAUGGGAUGGUAAACAGAAAGGGGUCCCCCGAGCCCUGUGCCUAUGGGCCCCAAAUAGGCACAGGUGCAUUUUUCUCAAGCACAAGUCACUAACUCAGUGGAAGUGGGACAGGAGAGAUCAGGAAUUCUGUGUCUGAGGAACCUUAGUGUCCCGGGAGGAGAUGCCCGUGACCAGUGACUUACCAAGGAGCAGCAGAGCCAUCCAGCGCAGCAUGGUGCUUGCCCAGGCGCCUGACAGGAGCUGCAAGCUGAGGUGAAGCUGUGGGGAGAGCACAUCGGCCUCAGGCCCGGGGUGAGUGGGUGGCCCCCUGACUGAGGCAUGUGUGUGGGUGUGCGUGCAUGCAUAUGUGUUUGCGUGUGUGCCUGUGGUGUUAUGGCAUGGUAGUCUAAAUAAAGGAAGUGGGGAAGAAAUUUGAAAAGCUCAAGUUAUUUCCCUGAGGUCAAAGUAUAUUAUAUACCUUUAUUUUAUUAAACACAAGACACAAAAGAGCCAGGCAAAUCACUUCUGACACUCUGUAACUUCCAAAACCCUUUGCCAAGGAGCCAGCAUAGGACAUGGCUAUGGGGCAUUCCUGUUAGAAAGAUCCAGAGACUUCCAGAAUAUGGUCUCAGUUUCUCUUGGCCUGGGAUAUAGCACAGCAUGAAGCUCAUGUACCCCAGCCCACCUUGAGAGAUCUGUGGUUCUCUGAGGCCCUCCUUGCUGUAUUAGGAUGUCUGAGAGGGCCCAUGGGUUCAACACUUGGUCUCCUGCUUGUGGUACUACUCGGACAUGGUGAGACCUUUGAAAGGUGGAGUCCGUGGGGAGGGGGGUCAGGUCUUCGGGAGCGUGUCCCAAAGGGAACUGUGGGACCUUGGUCUCUUCCUUUGCUUCCCAGAUGUCAUGAGGGGGCAGCUUUCUCCACUGAGUUCCCUACCAUCAUGUGCUGCCUCACUCGCCACAGGCCCUUGGUCCAUACAGGAACUUUGCAAAAUGACCUGGUCCAAAAUGAAUCCCUAUAUGACAUGGAUGGCAGAUGACCCAGUGGCUUUCUGAAAAUUAGUUGAACAGAAACAUGGAUGGUCAUUAAAAAAAUAUGUACAAGAGUGUUCAUAGCAGCAUUAUCUGUCAUAGAUACAAAAAGGAAACUGCCCAAGGGUCCCUCUCAGAAAAUGAAGUCACAUAUCUCCAUUAUCUCUGAAGACAGAACAUGCUUUUUUUUUUGGGUGGUACUACAGAUUGAAACCAGGGUCUUCACACUGAGCUACAUCCCAGGCCUGUUUACUUUUUUCUUAUUUUGAGGCAGGAUAUUGCUAAGUUUUUAAAUUGCCUAGAUAGGACUCAAACCUGUGAUCCUACUGUCUCAGUCUCCCAGAGUGCUGGAAUUACAGCCUUGCACCAGAACAUGCAAAUCUAAAGUGAAACAUAGUUUGAUAAAAUACUAGGAAGUACUUUAUGACCAUAAUGCUUUCUCUACAAGUCUUUAAAUCAGAUAGCCUGGGAAGAAUUUAACGUGCUGGUUACUGAAGCGGGCGUGAAGAAGGUGAGUGUUUUCUUUCCUGGAGUCUCUUACUCGCUGAGCUAAGGAAGCCGAUUUGAUACUACCAGGAGAUUCUUUGGUGUUUUGGUUGCUCUAGAUAAAGGUAAAGGUGGUGAAGAAGUAAGGUAGGAACAAUGUGGGCUGACAGGAUACUUUGGCAUGGGAACAGUCAGAGCGAGACUGGGCAAAGGUUAUGAGUGUGCCCCUCGUUGGAGUAGGGAGCUUAGCUCGGUGGGGUUUCAGCUGAAGGAAUGGUGAGACGGAGAGAGAACCAGGCUGUUUGCCAAACAAAGAGAGCAGCAACUUUUAUUGAUUUACUGAGACGGGCUAAAGUCCAAUAAGUUUCCUUUGGUCAAGCACAUGAUUCCAAAAGACAGUUUGUCUUGUACAAGACUUGGGCCACCAGGUGGUCAUGCUCACCUUGUCCUACAGGCUGUUGAAUCUUUGUGCAGUUGGCACCAUCAUCCUGCACAAGGCAUCCCGGCCUUGAGGUUCAGUUCGAGCCUUAUGAUAGGGUUGAAAGGAAUUCACGUGCUUGAGUGGCUAUUGCUAUUAAUGAAGCACAAAGAUGGGACUCAGGAAAAGAGAAAAAGGAGAAAGAAAAAGAAAAUGCAUGCAAAUCCAAUUGGGUAAUCUACAUGUGAAACUGUGUAUAAAAUUACAUCCAAAGAUUAAGACAGCAAAGGGAAUAAACACACUACGAAAAUGGAGACGCCCAGGUGUGUAUCCACGUUAGUCACCUAUGAGAUGUCCGUGGGCCCAAGACAGAAGUUCGUGUUCUCAACAGAAACAUCCUUCAGGUUCAUGAGAAGUAACCCAGAUAACUAUGAUCAUAAUAUGUCAGAGGUGUUAACUACACAGGAAAGCUAGUAUGAAACUAACUUCCAAAAUUAGUGAUCUUUAAGUCUGGUAAGAACCAGUGAAGCUAGAGAGUUUGUUUAGGGUUUUGCUCAGUAACAAUUCCCUCAUUUCGUGUAAGCUUUCUGCUUUGGUGGUUUUAUCAGGGUCUCAUGAUGGAACUGUUGAAAAGAUGACAACAGAAGAGAAACACACUGUGUUACAAAAGGUACUAGUUUACUGAGGCCAGGGGUUUAUUUUGUUGUCUCUUUUGUCUUACCACAGCAUCCUAACUAUCUCGGGAAUAAGAUAUCUUUUCUACUUACCUUGACAUCUCUAUAUUUUCCUGCCAACGGACACCCCGAUUUGAGAUGCCUCCAGUUUUGUGAAGUCACAGGUCCAGGGGGUGAGGUUGAGGCUCUGCUAGCUGCAGCUGAGGCAAAAGACAGAGGAAGGCAACCACAAAUGGCCUAGCUUGCAGACACCUCUGCUGGUUUGCACACACAGCUUCUGAAACUCCUGCUCUGGCAGUAUUGAUGUCACUGGGUUCUGGCAGCUGAGAGUGUGAACGGCGGUGAGACAUCACCCUCUUCCCCUGCAAGAUGUGAUGCCUAUGUGGCUUCAGAGGUGAGUGAAAGGCUGUUGGAGCUGACCUCGCUUCACACUGUUCCCUUGAGGAUGAAGUGACCUGGGCAGCAGGUUAAGAAUCUUCUGGGACCCAUGCCGACACUUAGCUGAGACUGAAAUGGAUUAGCAAAGGAACAAAAAUAGGGAAUCAAGGGGCUGUUGAGGAGGUGGGAUGAUGAUAGAGUAGGGAUCUUCACUUGGAAGAGGCUUGAAGCCCCCAGGUGACCUCAUUACUCAGGGUCCCUGUUAAGGCAGCAGCUAUCAGGAUCAGGGGCUAUUGAGGAAUGAGAAGGGUCAGCUCAAUGCUCAGGUAAGGGAAGCACAGGACAGCUGGAUAAGGAAAAGUUCUGGGCAUCGAGGCAGCAGGAUGGGCCAACUUCCUGGGCUUGAAUCCUCACUCUAAAUAGUAAUCUGAUUAGGGUACUUAGCUAGGUUUUUAAAACUUUCUAUGCUCCAGAGCCCUAAAAGAUUAUAUGUCUGGGCUGGGGAUUUAGCUCAGUGGCAAUAAUAUCUACCUGGCAAGCAUGAGGUUGUGAGUUCAAUCCUCAGUACCAAAAAAAAAAAAAAAAAAAAAAAAAAAAAAAAAAAAGAUUAUAUGUCUGUAUAUGUUUUCAUAUGUAUAUUUCAUAUUUCAUCAAAAAGAACAGUUUGUGCUUUCAUUGUUUGUUUGAUCAUUCUUUUCAUGCCUAUAUUUUGUAAUCUGAACAACUACUUUGAAGAUAACAAUGUGCAAUAUAUUAACCAGUAUUAAUCUCCUGUUAUUUUGUUUUGAAACUCUGUAUCAUCGUUUUUAUUUUUUUAAAUAAAAAUAACAGCAACAACAAAAAGGAUAAAUUAUUUACCUGCACGAUAGGGUUGUGAACAAGGUUAAAUGAGAUAAAAACACAGCACUGUAGGCAGCGCUGUCUUCUGGAACUCUCCACAAUGACAGAAACAUUCUCGGAGCACCCACUCAAGUAACUCCUCCUGGCUGCUGUGGCUCCUGAGCCCUUGACAUUGGCUAGCAAGAAUGAGGAACUGCAGUUUCGAUUACUUUUGUUUUAAUUAAUUUAGAUUAAUUAAUUGCACUACAUGGCCCAGAGACUGCCUUGGUUCUCACAGGCCUGGAGUCUUGCCAGGCCAGGAGGAAGUGCUUGAGAAAAGCUAAGCCACUGCCCUGGGAGCUGGGAAGCUGCCUCCCGGUCUGAACUUGGGUGGGAGAAGUUGUUCCUGUAGAAGAGGCACUCAGCGUACAGCCUGCUGGGCUUGGGGCCACAUCGCUUGCAGGAAGUAGAGAUCCAAGGAAAGCCCUGAGACCAUUGAUGAGUUUAGUUCAAAGGACAGAACAAAUUGCAAAAGCGUACCAAAAACCUAGCGUUUAGGACAGGAGCUGAAAGACCAGCAGUACCGUGAAGAUGGAGCUAGACGGGGAAGGUAGUUCUGGGCCUGGCCGGCAGGGGCAGGAGUCCUUGUGAAGCACCUGGCUAUCGCCCUCAUUCUCUUCCCUGCCCUUUCCUUUCCUUCUAGAAAGCGAUUGGAGAGUAACUUGUGUCAGGUCUACAGCGACCUCUUGUGGUUACAGGGGCAACAACUGCCCUCAGCAGGGACUCUUCAUAUGGGCCUCGAUGAGGCCAUUCAACCACCCAUCUACCCUUCUUCCCUCGAUCCAUCACUUCAUCCAUCUUUCCCCCGAUGAACUUUUCAUAAAACUUCUUCUCUAUGACAGCUCCAUCCUUGUCUCCAUGAGUUCUGGAAAAGACAGGCAUAUGCUAUCGUUUUUGUUUCUUGAGGCAUUUCCCUCAUGUCUCCACUAGUCUGUUGGUCACAGGGUAUUAUAUAUGCUUUAUUGUCUUUCUCUAGUCUUCAAAGGAAAGCGUAAAAUCUAAUUCAUCUUUGAAUAGCACAGCAUUAGAGUCAAGAUACAUCAAAGCCGAGUUGUCAGGAGUUCUGGAGUCAAAAAUUUAUGCGUUAUAAUCCUGGGUAUGUGGCUUACUAGGUGGGGUACCUUGGCCAAUGACUUAACUUUAAGCUUCAGAUUUUAAAUUUGUAACAUGGUAAUAAUUGGGUAAUAUCCUGUAAUACCCCAUAAUACACUUAAUAAUACCCAAUAAUACACCUAAUAGUGAAUACUCAUAUUCAAAUAAUGUUUGGCAUAUUGGAAUGCCCAAUUCACCAAGUAAUAAACUGGGUGAUACUCAUUCUUUAGUAUUAUGGAGAGGAUUAUGCUUUUGUAAGUGCAGCAUCUUGCAUGUCCGCUGCUCCACCUAACGUUAGAUUCUUUUAUACCUCAUGUUCUUACCCUAGCAAUGCUAUUCUACCAUCGUCUCUCUCAUGAAUUCAGCCGCUCCAUCUCAACUGGAUUUCCCCACGGGUGCUUCUGAAAGAUGCUCAAGUCUUCAUCUCAAACAAAUCAAACCAAGCCAGCAACCCUUCCCUUGAUUUCACCCCCGCUGCGAGGUUCUAUUAGUAGUCAGUCUACACACCUGUGUGCCACAAAGGUUGCAGAUGUUAUGUGGAUCUUCUCUGCCCUCAGAGAAGCUGGGUGGGGCCACACUUGAGCUGGGAGCAGCCUCACUCAGCGACCCAGUGUUUCACUGCAGGGUAAUCCUUAUGUGCCCUAAAGCAGGAUGUUUGGGAAGCACUGGACUCUGCUUGCUCCCCUCCUGCUUGUCUCCACCCACUCAGCUACAUGUUCAGCCUCCUUCUCAUCUCCAGCAUAGCCCUGGACAGGUCUAUCACACAGGCAUUCACACCUUCCUGUGUUACUGCUUUCCUUAAACAAAGCGACACAGCCCUCGCUGGCUUUCCUCCCGUCUCUUCUUCCCAUGUUACCCAGCAGUCACAACCUCCCUCCCCUGGAGGCUUUGAAGGAGUUCUGCAGAUCCUGGUCCAGGCCCUUCCUCCUAUUCUGUGUUCUCUCACUAAGCUUUCUCAUCUGUGCUGUGGGUUAAGUUACUACCUCUAAUCCAAUGAACCCCAAAUGUAUCUUCCAAGCCCAACCCAAAACCCUCAGUUUCAGACAUGGUGGUGGUGGUGGGAAUCUGAUUGUUGAGCUUAGAGCUCCUCAGGAAGAGCGCCUUAAACUCAGAACCUAAAGACGGAACCCAGCCCCUGCCUCCCAAUCUGCUCUUCUUCUGGUUCUUCCUGUGUGAGCGGGCAGCACCACUUACUCUGAUGUGCAAGUCAGAAAUCUGGCUGUCGUGACUCUAAUUAGCCCGUGUUUGUGAUUAGCCCAGUCGAAAUAUUCUCAGUGAUAUGAUCCCUUUGUCUGCACAUAUAUGGGAACUGUGUUUCUGCUGUUUAUUAUGUGCCCCCUGCUACCUUUCCCUGCUAGUCUGGCUCAAUCCUAGUGUGUCCUGGAUUUCAGUCUUCCUUGCAGAACUAUCCUGACCCUGUCUGGGCUAGCUGCACGAACAUGCCCUGCCUUAGUAUUUGACACAUUUCCCUGGCAUUAACCAGCCAACCGUCUCUUGCCUACAUGUUCCCUUCAGGACCACAAGCUUCCUGAGGGCAAGGGCUCUGUUCGUCUUGUUCUUUGGGUACUUUCAAUGCCUGGCAGAGGCUGUGUGUUCAAUGAGUAUGUAGGGUGGGACUGAAUUGAAGCGGAUCACCUUCUUUUUGUCCCAUUUACUCAAUGUAACCAUUUGAGUGAUGGUCACUCUCCUCUGUCCCCCCGCAUGCCCUCUUAAUCUCUCAUUCUCUCUUCACAAAUAAGCUGAUCACAGGGUGAGAUUUCUAUACAUAAAGGUUGUUGGUUGAUUCAGAGUUAGCCUUGUAUCUAUAUAAUUUGGUGCCUUUAUACUUUCCUUCGUGGCAGCAGGAUGUCAUUUUUUUCUGUGGAGGGAUUUUUUUUUUUAUUAAUCCAUGCAGUCCCCUUGAGCUACAGCUCCACGCUCCAUCUCUGUUUUCCCCAUUUUAAUUUACUCUUUUUUUUUUUUUUUUUGUCUUUUUCCUUUUUAUCGGUACCAGGGAUCGAACUCACGACUGCCUGCUUGCAAGGCAGGUGCUUAUGCCGCUGAGCUAAAUCCCCAGCCCUUCCCCAUUUUAAUUUUACAUGCACUCCUUACAUCUCUUCUUCACAUACCCUCCUAGGUAGCAUGUUAAUUUUUUUGUUUGGUGUGCUGCCCAUCCUUGACUGAGAGUCUAUGGUUACCGACACAGCUUCAGAAAUGUGAGAAUGGCUCCAAAGAGAGGCUGAAAACUGCUGGAGGCUCAUUCUUCCCCGGAGAUUGGGGAAGAAAAGCAUAUAUAAUUAAAGUGAUAAAUUGGAUUUUUUGGGUUCUCUGUUUACCACUGUCAAACAUAAUCUAUUUCAUGCAGUUAUACAGAAUGCAUAAAAUAGGUCAGAAUUAAUUUUCUUCAGUUUGCUUAUUUUCCCCUCCAGUUCCUCGGGUAGAUGUGGAACCCAGAUGGAAAUGGGAAGACUGUAAGCUUUGUGUGUUUAGAGGAGUUGGUGGUAAAGGGUUUAGUGCGCUGGCCCCUGGGAGCUGCACUCCCACAAGCAAGUAAACAAUGGAAGAGGUAAUGAGCGCCUGGGAAAGAGUAGCGUGUGGAGUCAGGCUGAGCAGCAGGAGAGUCCGGAGCAGAUCGCUGCUCUCCUGUCUGCUCUGCAAGUGCUCUGUCCUUCGCUCAUCCCUGCCACGCCUCCUGUCUCUGCCUCUCCCCCUGCUGAGUUUUCAUCUGCAUAUGGACAUGCACAAGUAUCAUCCCACCCAAACGAAUCCCUCUCCUAGGAACAGCCCAUCUUUCUCUUCCAUCAUGCUGAUGCUAACCUCCUCACCUGCUCUCCUGGCGCCCUAUUUGUGCCCCAGUCCCCCCUGGGCCCCCAUUCCACUCAACUGCUUCUGCCAGUCACAGAGCCUUCUGUGCUGCCAGCUCUGACAAGGGGGCGAUGCUCUGCCCUCCUCUUCCUUGGUGGCUCAGCAGCAUUUCCGACAGUUGAAGGAUGCCCCCUGAAACACAUUCCUUUCUUGGUGUUCCUCACAUUGCCCCGCCUUCUAUCUGGCUCAGGCUAAAGGCUGGAUACUCUUUCUUUCCUGACAUUGAAUGGAGGAGUGCUCAGAGUUUGGUCCUGGUUCCUUUACCCUGGUCAGCUUACACUGUCUGCGUAGUCCUGUGGCUUUAAAUAUCAUACUAGUGACACCCAGAUUGAUACUGCCCGACCUGACCCUAUUUGUGCCCUGGACUUCCGGCCCUAGUACAGUUGAUAGCAGCACUCCUCCCUCUGGGUGGCUCACAAACACCUCAGAUUUCACAUGGCUAAAAUAAAACUCUCCUUGCAAUCAACAGUCAUUUCAUUGUUCCUGUCCUUCUCUCUAUCAGCGAUUUAAAAAAAAAAGUAUUGGAGAUUUAAACCAGGGAGUCCUAAGAUACACCCUGCCCUCACUUAAAAAUGUUUUUACUCGGAGGCAAGUUCUCACUAAGCUGCCUCACCUGGCCUUGAAGCUGUGACGCUGCCGCCUCAGCCUCUGGAGCUUUCUCACCUCAUAGUUUUCUUCAACUCCCUCCUGCCCCAGUUGCUCAAACAGAAACCUCAGAGUCUCGCUGCCCAUCUAGUCUAUUACCAAAGUCUAUUGAUUCCACUCUAAAGCACAUCUCAGAUUUCCUUGUGUCCCCGCUUCCUGGAGACCCCCACAUCCUUCACCGACAUCCGUCACCCCAAGGCCCCUUUGGCUCUUACCCGCAUGCUAGGGUGUCCUUUCAGCUUUGCUAAGGCGGAGCGUCCUCUUUUCUCACUCGGCUUUCCUUGGACACGCUUCCUCAGUCUACCACAGUCACAUUCAUUCUUCCUAAAACCAACGAAUGAAUGUAGGAACAAAUAAAUAAUACACGAUGAAUUGAAGCACAUUAUUAAACAAUCAAGCCACUUCAGCAAGUACAUCUGGGUGGCUGUUACCCAGCAUUAAAAUUUGAUUUUCAAUUUCUUUGGUUCUAUUUGCAUCAGGUGUUUCUUAAAGAAAUACACUGCCCCAGCCUACGAAAGCCCCAGGGCCACUCCCCUAAUUCUAGUCUCCUCCUCCCCUUUCUGAGAAUAACCCCAUACCUUAUUUCACACCCUUUCCCCACGCGUGUGCAGCAGCGAUCCACAUCCCCGCCUUGCACAUUUCCUUAGCGUGGUCUGGGAGGUGGAUCUGGACCGGCAGAUGUGGCUUCCAUGGUCACGUUCACUGUGGCAUGGUGUCCGAUGUCCAACUCUACUUGUUCACCUGUGAUGGAGAACGGUGCCAACUGGUCUCCACUCUCCCCCCACGGAAUGACUCCACUCUUCCGGCCACCAGGGGCUGCCAGGCAGCCCCGCGGGACUCCGCGGGGCUCUCACUUGUGGGCUGCCCCCCCCCCCCCCCGCCCGCCGUGGUUGGACAUCAGGAUGCUAAAUGCGCAUAGAAUGCACAAAUGCCCCAAACCCCAGGGCCGCUGGGAGAUGGGGGGUGGUCUAAUCUUCCUGUCCUCUAACUCUUUUAUAAAAAUUGAACGCAGUGCAAAACAAAAAUUCCAUCUUGAACGAAAACUUAAAAAGGUCUUCCGUUGCUAAAAUGAACAUCUACAUAUAUGCUUAAAAUUUGAAAUACACAAAGCUAACAUUUUCCUUUCACAUAUCUAUUUGCUGUGGAUGUUUCCUUUAAGAUACAAAGCAGUUCUCACUGAUCUUUUCCCACCCUUCCCGCUGGGAGGCAGCUGAGAUCCUGAGUUUGGUGGGUGUCCAAACCAGUUAUUUUUAUAACGUGUAGCUCUCCACAAACAACUCAUAGUCCUGUCUGUUUUUAUUCUGUAUUUAAUAUCCUGCAAGUUUCUUUCCUACCUACACAAUGUUGUUUCCAAGACACAUCUAUAUUGAUGCUAAUAUCUCCAGUGCACUAUUUUCUUACUUUCUAAAAGUAUCUUUUUAGAUUGUUUUCAGUUUCUGGCUAUUUAAACAAUUGUGCAUGUAUAGUCCAUGAGGGUGGAAUUCUUUGUCUCUUGGUUGUGCUCAUUUCUUAUCCCCCCGAGUUUGGUCUGGCACAUUGUAGGUGCUCAGUACAUAUGUAUGGAAUAAAUGAAUAAAUGAACAACUUCACACGUCUCUAUGUUGCUCAAAUGCAGAAUUUGCCCAUAAAUAUUCACAUAUAUAACAUAUACAUUAUAGACAUGAAGUCUUUAUUCUCCACAGCUAUUGUGCUAACUACAAAUCCCCAGCACUUUGAUAAUUUUGCUUUCCCUUUACCUUUAGUAUUUUGAGAUUCGAUGUCUGUUCAGCACUGCUGUAUAUAAAAUCAUAUCUUAUCAUUGUUUUAAGUUGUGUUUGUCUAAUUCUGAUUUUCCUCACCUAAGAUUCCUCUGGAUUUCCUUGUGGCUUCCAGGUUAACAGAUGAACAGAAGUGGUCAGGGCACUCUAAGGACUCCUGCACAAUGCCUCACCUCUGAGGUGGUUCUGAGGGCCCCAGGUCUGAAGAACACAGUGUUACCCUCUCCUCCAGAUCCCACUUUGGGUUCUGAAGGCCCUUGUUGGGGGAUGGGGGCAGCUCAUGAGUGCCCAUGCUGGUCUGUUACUCUUUAGGUCUUCAACUGGAGAAUGUCAACCAGGAGAGCCCUAUGUUUGGGGACUUUGGUGUUUGCAGCUGCAUUGAUUCCUUCAGAGAUCCUGUGUGUAACUAAUGGGCAGGUUGUCUUUGGUGUCCCCCCCCCCCCCAUGCCUCCACUUACAGGGAGACACAGCACCUGGUCUGGUUGGCACCUGUGCACUUGAUGAGCUGACCACUAUUUGGAGAAAUCAAGUUUGAAGGUAAGGGGACAGAUGUAAUGGAGAGGGGGUGGAAGUGGGUAGGGAAGCUGAGGCAAAAGGCUUGGAUAAUCAGGAUACUCCCUGACCGCAGGACAACAGGGAGGGAUACUGCAACAUUGGACUGAGCCCAGCACCAGGGAUCAAGGCUCCGAGGACACUUGAAUCUGACCAACUGAGAUAUGGCAAUGGCCUGAUUUAAGAUGUGACACCAGUGAAUCAGACAGAACAGUGGGUGUGCAGAAGCCAGUACCAGCUGCCAUCUGAAAGACAGAUAUUUCUGGCAUGUAGGGAUGACACUCACUUGAGAUCCUUUCCCAUUUGGAAAGCAUUAAAAAAUCAUAACUUGCAAGCCCAGAGGGUGAGCACUCUGACUUAACAACCCUUUGACUUUCUUUUGCAAAGCAUUAAAGUCAUUAACUUCCAGCAAGAGGGAAAAGCAGGUUCUUACUUAAACUCUUAUCUUCUGGAAAGUCUUAAACCGGCAGCAGUGAGGCCUCGUUACUCUUUGACAAUGUUAAAUCGUAAAGCACCAUACUGCUGCUAAGUAAUGGGACCAUUCUGUCAGGAUGUAGCUUAAGAAAAAUUGGCCUUAGUGACAUGUCCUUUACUCAAAAACCUAGAGUGGUUUCACAGCUUGAUCAGAUAUGGUCCUUCUGCUUUGGCUUGAGUUCCUGCGGCCCUUCACUACCUACCAUGUGUUCUCUGCCGCCCACUGGGUGACAUUACUUCAUCUAUGCCAUCCAUCCCCCCGUCUUUCCCUCCCCUCACUGACACCCACUCAUCCUUCCCACUUCUUGCUGGACUCUGCUCCCAGCACAUACUUCUGAUAUUUUAAAUAUCACCAAACAUUUCUAUAGCUCUUUAGGAUGACCGGCCAUGCCAGCCAUGCCUCUUUGAAAGGUUCAACUUUCUCAGUUUCAUCAGACUCACUCCUCCUACAUCUUUAACACUAUAGCAUUGUUUAAAUAGUUAUGCACUGUGUAUUUUCCAGUUGUAUGCAUCCACUUGCAUUUACACUUAAUAGUGUAUUUGUGUCACAUAUUCCUCUACUGACUUAUCCAUCUAGUAGUUUAUUUUCUUACCUUUUUUUUUCAUUUUCCUGAAGACAACCAGGUAUGUGACAGCACAUCAGUUACUUUGUGUUUAAUUGAGCAUCCAUGUGCCAAAAGUUGUACGAGGUGAUAGAAGAAAGAGACAGAUCCCUCAGACUCUGGCAGGAGAGACAGAUACUAAAUAACUGAUGGAAUCAUCAUAGGCAGUCAAGGAUGAUGCUGGGGAAGAUGUGUGGAGAACUAAUGGAAAACUUUCUCUGAGGAAGUGAUAUGUAUAGUAUAGUAUAGUAGUCUCAAGACUACUAGGUGCUAGUAUGACCUGGGAUCUAGGCAAAAAACUAAGGAAGAAAGUAUGCCAGGCAAAGGGAGUAAUGAGUGCCCAGACUGUCACAUGGAGAGAAUGCACAGAAUCCAGCAUUGUGCAGUAAGGCUUGACUCAGUAGGCUGGGUUGCCCUGCACAAUGACAGCUCCCGACAUAUGACUUCUGAAUCCUUAGUAUAUCCUGCUCAAUAAAUAUCUAAGCUCUUGGGCCAGCCAGAUUGUUCAUGCUAACAACAUGGUCUGUGGGGAACACCUGAUUUUCUAUGCCCAGGAUGCUUUGAGCCAUGCUGUUUGAAUUUGAUUUCUGCUGGGGCUGGAGACUGAGUGGUUAAGGUCAGUCAGACACAUACUGGAUACUUACAUGACUGACCCUAAAUAAAAACUCUGGGCAGCAAGGUUCAGGGGCAUAUCCUUGACUGGCGGUAUUUUGUAUGUGUUGUCAUACACUGUUGCUAGAAUUGAGCACUACAUGAAACUUUGGGAGUGGAAAAGUGGAAGCUUGUGCCUCCCUUCUAGAAUCUUUCCUAUGUGUCUUUCUCCUUUCCAGAUUUUAGUUUGUAUUAUUUCAUUGCAGUAAACCUCACAUAUAAGACUCAAACAGCUUGUAUGAGUUCUAGGAGCUCUUUUUUGAAUUAUCCAAAUGACAGUGAUCUUGGGGACCCCAACACAGGUACGGGAGAGAAGAAAAAGGCUGUGGAGACAGGAGCAUCUGAAAUGAGGGAGGAGAUGAAAGAAUCGGAUUCCUUAGCUCCUUAUACGUCAUCAUCAAGAAUGGCAUGCUCUUGCCUCUCUGAUUGACCCCAGUGUAGCUACUUUAUAAAAUUCUACUGUGGUCCCAGCUAGAUUUCAUGCAGGGUACCUAAAGAAAAUAUGCAAAUCAAAUCAUUUUCUUGGGAUGGAGAAGUCCAUGGGCACACAAAACCUACUGGAGGAGACAGGCGGUGUAACUCAUGGAGUGGCUACCCUGAUUGUCAUUUUCCAUAGUGCCAUCUUGGAUUUGAGGAGAGUAUAUAUGAGUAAAGAAGAGAUGUUGUGUUUAUUGUAAAAGUUGAGAGAACCAUCCCAGAACUGUCUACCAUACUGAAGUGUUGUAUACUGAAACUUCAAACUGGAGUGACAUCCCUCAUUUGUUCCUUGGUCUCAUGCAUGGGGGUAGAAUAAGUCAAGGGAAAAACAGGAUGAGAUUGGUUCAAGCAACUUAAGUAACUUUACAAAGCAUCCAGUUGUCAAGGUUGCAAAUAAGUCAUCAGCUGGAGGCAUGGACAUGCACUGAGGUGGUGUGUGGGCGAGCAUGCUGCUUUCUUGAGAGCUUGCCUUGAAUGCAUAAUAGCUUGAGAAAGCUUUAAAUGUAAUGGAAGACGUGCUUAUAUAACUCACUUCUAAAUCAGCUGGGGACUACAUUUGUGAUGGUGUUGGAGAGUUGAGAAGCCAGUUGGGGAUGUGGAUGGUGCUGCUAGCUGGUUCAUUCCCCAAACAGAGCUGAGGAAGACUUGGGCAGCAUAUUCGGAAAGCCACGAAGUCAGAGGGCUCCAGUAAUUAUCCCAUGAGUUCAAAUGCCCACACUCUGGGGAACCCAAAAUGUUGUUAUAUAUUUUAUAAGCGUAAUCUCGUGGGGGAAGGCAGUGUAUUGUUAGCUCCAAGUCAGAAUGUUGCUUUACUCGGUGGCUUUGGGCAAGCAAUUUAAAAUCUCUCUGGGUCUCAGUUUGUUCAUUUGUGCAUUGGUUAUGGAAACGGUGCUUUGUCCAUAGGUUCUAUUUUUGAAGACUGAAUGAGGUAAUGUCUGUGAAGUACUCGGCCUACUGCCUGGCAUGCACUGAGGGGUCAAACAACAACAAAACCAGAAAGGGCAUUACGGAUUUUUAAAUAAAUCAUCAAAUGUUGUAAAAGGACCUUUUUUGGGGCUCCAUGCCAGUCACAUAUGCCUGAGGACUGUCCUGCUGAGUGAGGACAUCUGUGUGCUCUGAAUUAGGUAACAGUGGACAUCUUGGUUAGUUUUACUUUUCUAUUGUUGUUGAGACAAAAUACCUGAUGCCCAACAUGAAGGAAGGACAGGUUUAUUUCUUACAGUUCUUGGAGGUUUCAGUCCAUACUUAGCUGGCUUCAAGGUAGGAUGGCAUGGCAGGACAGCCAUUCAUGGCCACCACAAACUGCAAGAGCUAACAGAGCAAAAGAGGGGAAAGACAUGCCUUCUUUCUGCCCUUGCAUUGUAUGCUGGCUCCACCCCUGGGUGGGUAUAGCUCUCACAUCACCAAUCCCAGUGCUAGACAAUGAACCAAUCAUGAAUGCUAGAUUCAGCCACGUUGUCAUGGUUUAUGUCUGUGUCCCCCAGGCCUCAUGAGUUUGAAUUGUGCAUUUGUUCCUCCAAAAACUGAAAGAAAUAAACCAUUCCUUUCCCAACUUGGGCAUCAGGUUUUUGUCGCAGCGACGAGCAUAAAGUAACUAAGACAGAAUUUGGUUCCGAGGAGUGGGGUUGUUUGCUGUGAUUAUACCUGACCGUGUUUUUCGAGAGGCUUUGGAAAUGGCUUGUGGGCGGAGUUUGGAAAGGUUUGGACAUGUUGCCUGGAUGCAUAGAGCUGGAGCAGCUUAGGCUGUUCUAUAGAGGAGAUUCUGGUCAGAGCUCAGGAGACCAGAAGGCUGAUGAUACAAAGCCUCAUGGUAAAGACCAGGCUUGGGAGGUUUCUGCUGGGAUGAAGGACUGCAUUGGUCGUUGGACUCCACAUGAUGUGUGUUAUGGCUUGGCAGAAAGUUUGUCUGCAUUUUGCUCCUGCCCAGAGUCUUUGCCUGAGACUGACACAAAGGGCAAUGGACUGAUUAAUCUUAAAAAAGAAAUUAAAAAGCAAUCAAAUGUUGAAGUUGUGGCAUGGCUAUUGUUGGAGGCUUUCAGCCAGCUUUAUGUUUCAAAUCAAGAGCAAGGAGCCUGGCAGGAUAAUGUACAAUGCUGUGAGUUUGGCCAGAAGGAUAAUUCCAGGAAGGCUGUGGAUUGUAAAGACAGAGUUGAGAUUUUGAUUCCUGAGGAGAAACAGUGAGAUAAGAAAGAUGGCCCCAGGACAUCCCAGGAGGCAGGUCCCCACCCUGUGCAGCCUCACAGCAAAGGUGAAAAAAUGUGCUCAGAGGAAAAGCUGCAGAGCGCCAUGUUCCAGAAUGUCGACAGCGACCAUAUGAGGUUCCAGAAUGGCGGCAACAUAGAGAAGCUUUUUCUCACAAUCAGGUAAACAGAGCCCUGCGAUCCAGGCAACUGACCGCUACAGCCAAGAGAGAGAAAAGCCUGGCUACUGCUUCAGCUGGCAGCAGACCUUGGCGGCAUCCAUAAGGUGCUGAUUUUAGGUGCAAGGAAAAUGCACAAAUUCUGAGGGUAAGACAGCUUCCACCUCGAUUGCAAAGGGCCUGGCUGGCCAAGCAGUGUGCCCCUGAGAGGGCAAUUUGUGAAGAUGCAAGAGUGAAGCCUAAGGUGCAGUGGAGACCCCAGAAGUUUGGAAAAGCCAGGAACGUGGAUGAUCCAAGGAAAGCUGCAAAAAGCAAACAGAGGGGCUGGGGAUUUAGCUCAGCUGCAUAAGCGCCUGCCUUGCAAGCAGGCAGUCAUGAGUUUGAUCCCUGGUACCCAUAAAAAGGAAAAAGAUAAAAAAAAAAAGUAAGCAGAUAGGAUUUAAGAGAAAAGCUGCGGGAGUUGAAAUCACUGGAAGUGCUGUGGGAUGGAAUCACCUAAGCCUUUUGGAGCUUGCAACCAGAUUGCUUCAGAUGUUGAGCAUGGAACUCUAGGACUUAAUGUUUGUCCUGCUGGAUUUGGACUUGCUUUGUUUCCAAUGCUUUAUAUUCCCGUUUGUAACUUUUGGAAUGGUAAUGUUUAUCUUGUGUCUUGCAUUUCAGAAAUGUUUAACCUUGUUUCAUUUGUAAAGGGUUACAGUUAAGAGUUUGCCAUAGAUCUUGGAGGAGACUUGGGACUUGGACUACUCAGCAAUGCUGAAACUUAGGACUUUGGCAACUCUUGGAGGUGGACUAAAUAUCUUUUGUAUAAAGGAUGUACAUGAGUCCUGGGGGCCAGGGGUGGAAUGUCAUGGUUUAUGACUGUGUCCCCCAGGCUUCAUGAGUUUGAACUGUGCAUUUGUUAUUCAUUCAUUGUCUAGUGCUUGGAUUGAUGGUGUCAGUGCUCCACCCACAUAGGGGUGGAGCCAGGAUGUGAUGUAAUGGCAGGAAGAAGGUGUGUCUUGCUCUUUGGCGGUUCCAGCUUGCUGUUUGCAGCCACCAUGAACGGCAGCCCAGCCAUGCCCGCCUGCCUUGGAGCCAACUGAGUGUGUACUGAAACCUCCAAAAACUGAACAAAAUAAACCUUUCCUUUCCCAA